rnacentral:tRNA from 1 species
GCUAAGAUUCUACAUUAAACUAUUCUCUGAC